GGAGACGUGGGUGAGUGGUUGAAACCAGGCCCUUGCUAAGGGUCCGAACGUUCUGCGUUCCGCGAGUUCGAAUCUCGCCGUCUCCGCCA
rnacentral:tRNA from 1 species